GGGCCAUUAGCUUAUUUGGUAGAGCACCGCAUUCGCAUUGCGGAGAGGGCGGUUCGAAACCGCCAUGGUCCACCA
rnacentral:tRNA from 1 species